rnacentral:ncRNA from 1 species
AGCCCUUAGUUGGGGUGCUUUUUUAAGUUUCAUACUGUCAAAAUAAAAGCUGAGGCUGAGAUGAUACCCGUGAACCUGAUACAGUUAAUACUGGCGUAGGAAACUAAAUGCUUGAUUUU